rnacentral:lncRNA from 1 species
AAUAAAUAAAGCCCGAGCCUGGCUCGGCCUAGGCCCUCUCGCUAAACUUAAAGUGGGCUUGGUCCUGGGCUUCCUGGGCUUGAAAAAGCCCGGCCUAAGCCCAUUGUUUGUCAUCCCUAUUCAUAACAGCAAAAGAGUGAUUACACGGUAUACCAAGGGACUGUAUAAGAUUGCAUGUGCACACAAGCUUGGAAUCUGCUUCAUGAAAAACAACCCUCCAAGAACGAUCCUCCAACUUGAAUUUUUUUAAUCACAUAUACUCGGAGACCAACAUCUGACAUACGAUUAGAGAUGUAUAACAAUCCAUCGUCGCGGAGUUCUUUAAGAACACAAUUGAAUACUCUGCGAGUAUAUAUUAUUGCAGCUUGCUGCUCAUAAUGCUUCUGCAAAUGGUGAUCAAAAUAAGCAUUGUCUGCUCAUCCUCAGCCUCCUUAUAACGUAGUUGUGAAAUCAAAAAUUUCACUUGCAUCACAAACUCAAAUAACAUAAGUUUGCCACCCACAUAUUGAUUUAUGUAUGCAUUCAUAAUCAGUUAAAAACCAGUUGUACUGGUACCAUGCAUGCCUUGUAUGAGAUCCAGCGCUGCAUGGUAGGUUAACUCUUUAUUAUAUUCUAUAAUUGAGCAAAUCCAUUAUUGCCCACACUUAUCACAUAGAAUCAAAUGGUGGCAACAACCAAAGCCAAUUGAGUUUCUUGUAUGUAUGUACAUGUAUGGGGAAUCUCUAUAAUGGCAAAGCUUUUGUUAGAAACAAUAUAACAAACAACCAAUAAAUAUAGGUCAUUGAUUUUGACAUUUCUUAAAUCCAAUGGAUGAGAACUAUUUUAACGUAAAACCAAGUAUAGGUGUGAUAGUAAUUUAUGAAAAAUUUUAUUUUUAAUCACAUAUUUACUUUUUUUAAAAUAAGUUCUCAUUGAUUUUAUAUAAUUAAAUAGUUUUGUUGUCCAUCUCUUCUACAUCUAUUUUUAAACUUUAUAGAGUUUUUACCAUAUUUUUACAAAGAUCUAAUUGAUUAUCAUAUUCAUAAAGAUUCACAAAUUUUGAAUGUCUUUUUGCACCUGUAUUUAUAAUUUUUUGUCUCUCUUGAGACAUAGACAAGAUUUUUCUUCUAAUGCACACACACACACACAUAUUCAAUCUAUUUUUUCAUCCUAAACACGUACCAUCAAUUUUGUCAUAUAGAUUUUGUAAUCUAAAUUUAGUAUCCUAAAUUAUAAUAGAUAUUAUAUGUGAUAAAUAUGUUAUGAAUCUAAUAAAUUAUUAGAAAGAUGAUACAAUGAAUUAAUUACCGGAACCUCUAAUAAUUUCACAAAACAUAAAAAUCAAUAAGUUACCACCUUCUAGCUAUAAGAAAAAAAGGAUUUUUCUAUGGAAGAUUUAAAUCCUGUGAUAUGAUCAAUGAUUUAGAUAUGGAGAAAUAAUCAAUUAAAUUGAAUGUCACUAUAUUUAUU